CAGCCGCCGCGGUAAUACGUAGGUGGCAAGCGUUGUCCGGAAUUAUUGGGCGUAAAGGGCUCGCAGGCGGUUUCUUAAGUCUGAUGUGAAAGCCCCCGGCUCAACCGGGGAGGGUCAUUGGAAACUGGGAAACUUGAGUGCAGAAGAGGAGAGUGGAAUUCCACGUGUAGCGGUGAAAUGCGUAGAGAUGUGGAGGUACACCAGUGGCGAAGGCGACUCUCUGGUCUGUAACUGACGCUGAGGCGCGAAAGCGUGGGGAGCGAACAGGAUUAGAUACCCGGGUAGUCCCUGUCUCUUAUAC
rnacentral:rRNA from 1 species